GGAAUGAUUGGGCUUAAGUGUUUGUAGGUGGCUUUUUAAGUCUGCCAUCAAAUCCUAGGGCUCAACUUUAGACAGGUGGUGGAAACUACCAAGUUGGAGUAUGACAAGGGCAGAAGGAAUUUCCAAUGUAGCGGUGAAAUGCGUAGAGAUUGAAAGAACACCAACGACGAAAGCACUCUGUUGGGCCGGCACCGACACUAAUACUGAGACACGAAAGCUAGAGGAGCGAAUGAGUUUCGACUCUUCGUCUAUUAAUUACAAUAUUAUUUAGUCACGAAGUCAAUCCACUUGAAAUAUCAUGACUGAACUCUCUUUAUUAUAUACCAUUGUGAAAGCAACUUAUUAAGCGCC
rfam:Gossypium arboreum cultivar AKA8401 contig_22123_1, whole genome shotgun sequence.